AUUCAAACACAGUAUCAGCACCAGUACCAGAGGAUCCACCUCGACCAGUCAAUAUUGUUUAUUGUAUGCGCCGACGUCAGUUGCAUUCUCUCCAUACAGAUCAGUCCUCCUCUUCAACUUCUCCACGGCCAUACAUACUACCGACACCUGCAAUGAUUGAGCAACUGAUCAGACGGGUGAUCGAGACGCAGGACACAGCCAGUUAUUGAGGGUGCUGCUAUUGAACAUUUCGACCAGUUGGAGGUCAUAGAGCUCUUUGAUGAGCAUGGUGUUGAUCGUGGUCGCGGUCGUGGUAGGGGACGUGUAGGUAAAUGUGGUCGAGGGACUAGGAGAAGAACAUGACAUUAUAUUUUUGUAAAUUUUAAAUUACACCGAACUUUCUAUAUUAUUGAAAAACUUACUUUAAUUUUUGAUAUUCUGUUAUGAUGAUAUGGUAUCGAUGCUCUAUUAAUGUUCGGUUGGAUUUAUUGUUGUGUUGGAUUUGUUGUUGUAUUAUCCAUGUUGAAUUUCUUGUAUUGUUGUAUUGAAUUUGUUGUUGUGUUGUUGAUGUUGUAUUUUAGUGGCUUAUUGUGAAAAACUAAUUGUAAGUGCGCUGUAACUCU
rnacentral:lncRNA from 1 species